CAAUAGCGUAUAUUAAAGUUGUUGCAGUUAAAACGCUCGUAGUCGGAUUUCGGGGCGGGCCGACCGGUCUGCCGUUGGGUAUGCACUGGCCGGCGCGUCCUUCCUUCCGGAGACCGUGCCUUCUCUUAACUGGGCGGGUUCGGGAGACGGAACGUUUACUUUGAAAAAAUCAGAGUGUUUCAAGCAGGCAGCUCGCUCUUGCAUGGAUUAGCAUGGGAUAAUGAAAUAGGACUUUGGUGCUAUUUUGUUGGUUUCGAACACCGAAGUAAUGAUUAAAAAGGGGCAGUCAGGGGCACUCGUAUUCCGUCGAGAGAGGUGAAAUUCUCAGACCAAUGGAAGACGAACCACUGCGAAAGCAUUUGCCAGGGAUGUUUUUCACUGAUCAAGAACGAAAGUUAGGGGAGUC
rnacentral:rRNA from 1 species